UGGGGAAUUGUUCGCAAUGGGCGCAAGCCUGACGACGCAACGCCGCGUGGAGGAUGAAGGUCUUCGGAUUGUAAACUCCUGUUGAUCGGAACGAACUCCUCCGGGGCCAAUACCCCCGGAGACUGACGGUACCGCUAGAGGAAGCACCGGCUAACUCCGUGCCAGCAGCCGCGGUAAGACGGAGGGUGCUAGCGUUGUUCGGAAUCACUGGGCGUAAAGGGCGCGUAGGCGGCCCGUGCAGUCGGCUCGUGAAAGCCCGGGGCUCAACCCCGGAGGUGCGGCCGAUACUCAUGGGCUCGAGGCCGGAAGAGGAGGGUGGAAUACCCAGUGUAGAGGUGAAAUUCGUAGAUAUUGGGUGGAACACCGGUGGCGAAAGCGGCUCUCUGGUCCGGUCCUGACGCUGAGGCGCGAAAGCGUGGGGAGCAA
rnacentral:rRNA from 1 species